rnacentral:lncRNA from 1 species
UGCCCGCCCUUUUCCCUGCCUGCUGGAGGCGGCUUUGGAGCACAGAAAGCUCCAAGGUGCCCCAACGUGCCCAUGCCUUGCCAGCCCAACACACCGGACACCCCAAGGCAGCUCCACCUCACACAUGGCUGCCACUCCUCCAUGGUCAGUCCUUUCGGGUGGCAGGGUUCAUCACUGUGGCAGGUUGAGAAGACAGAGGGUGGAGUCUAAGUCCCAGCCUUGUGGUUUACUUAGACCUGUGACCUGGAGCCUCUCAGAGCCUGCAGGCAGCUGUGCAGCCAGAUGCUUCCAGAGGCAACUUGGAAGUUCUCCUUCGUACCCGAAGCCGCUAGACUCCCUGAGGUGGCAGAGUCCAGGUCCCGGUCCUUCAGGAGGCACUCAACAGCCAUCUGGCUCCCAAGUGCUCUUCCAGGCCUGCUUCUCCCUCCCUCUCCUUGCUCCCUUUGGCCUCCCUACUCUUAUUCCGCUCUCCUUGUUCUCUCCUCUGUGAAUCAAACGCACCCCCACUCCUACAAUGUAUUCAAGUAAAAACAGGC